rnacentral:rRNA from 1 species
AUUGAACGCUGGCGGCAGGCCUAACACAUGCAAGUCGAGCGGAUGAAGGGAGCUUGCUCCUGGAUUCAGCGGCGGACGGGUGAGUAAUGCCUAGGAAUCUGCCUGGUAGUGGGGGAUAACGUCCGGAAACGGGCGCUAAUACCGCAUACGUCCUGAGGGAGAAAGUGGGGGAUCUUCGGACCUCACGCUAUCAGAUGAGCCUAGGUCGGAUUAGCUAGUUGGUGGGGUAAAGGCCUACCAAGGCGACGAUCCGUAACUGGUCUGAGAGGAUGAUCAGUCACACUGGAACGGAGACACGGUCCAGGCUCCUACGGGAGGCAGCAGUGGGGAAUAUUGGACAAUGGGCGAAAGCCUGAUCCAGCCAUGCCGCGUGUGUGAAGAAGGUCUUCGGAUUGUAAAGCACUUUAAGUUGGGAGGAAGGGCAGUAAGUUAAUACCUUGCUGUUUUGACGUUACCAACAGAAUAAGCACCGGCUAACUUCGUG